rnacentral:rRNA from 1 species
AUUGAACGCUGGCGGCGUGCCUAAUACAUGCAAGUCGAACGAGAGCGACCGGUGCUUGCACUGGUCAAUCUAGUGGCGAACGGGUGAGUAACACGUGGGUAACCUGCCCAUCAGAGGGGGAUAACAUCCGGAAACGGAUGCUAAAACCGCAUAGGUCUUCGAACCGCAUGGUUUGAAGAGGAAAAGAGGCGCAAGCUUCUGCUGAUGGAUGGACCCGCGGUGCAUUAGCUAGUUGGUGAGGUAACGGCUCACCAAGGCCGUGAUGCAUAGCCGACCUGAGAGGGUGAUCGGCCACAUUGGGACUGAGACACGGCCCAAACUCCUACGGGAGGCAGCAGUAGGGAAUCUUCCGCAAUGGACGCAAGUCUGACGGAGCAACGCCGCGUGAGUGAAGAAGGUUUUCGGAUCGUAAAACUCUGUUGUUAGAGAAGAACAAGUGCUAGAGUAACUGUUAGCGCCUUGACGGUAUCUAACCAGAAAGCCACGGCUAACUACGUG